rnacentral:rRNA from 1 species
GAUGAACGCUGGCGGCGUGCUUAACACAUGCAAGUCGAACGAAGCACUUUAUUUGAUUUCCUUCGGGACUGAUUAUUUUGUGACUGAGUGGCGGACGGGUGAGUAACGCGUGGGUAACCUGCCUUGUACAGGGGGAUAACAGUUGGAAACGGCUGCUAAUACCGCAUAAGCGCACAGCAUCGCAUGAUGCAGUGUGAAAAACUCCGGUGGUAUAAGAUGGACCCGCGUUGGAUUAGCUAGUUGGUGAGGUAACGGCCCACCAAGGCGACGAUCCAUAGCCGGCCUGAGAGGGUGACCGGCCACAUUGGGACUGAGACACGGCCCAAACUCCUACGGGAGGCAGCAGUGGGGAAUAUUGCACUAUGGGCGAAAGCCUGAUGCAGCGACGCCGCGUGAGCGAAGAAGUAUUUCGGUAUGUAAAGCUCUAUCAGCAGGGAAGAUAAUGACGGUACCUGACGAAGAAGCACCGGCUAAAUACGUG